GCCCGCGGGGAAGGAGGAGCAGGCCGCGGGCUGGCGAUCUCGCCCGGGAGAGGGGAUGGCAGAGAUCGCAUGGUGGCGAUCUCGAGCGGAAGGGAAGCCGAACGAGAUCGCACAGUGGCGAUCUCGAACGGGAAUCGGGAAGAGGUAGAUCGCACGGUGGCGAUCUCCAUGAGAAAAGGAAGACUUGCGGCGGAAACCGCAAGCUAAGGAGGGGAGAAGAGUGAGUGACUUGGCCGCGAACGAGGGAGAGACGAGCGGUUUGAGCCGCGACCGAAGGAGGAAGGUGUCGCAUGCGCGCUGUCGCUGCUGCGUGCGAGUGUGGGAACGGAUUUGCGGGAAACCGCAAAACCGUGCGAUCGCGCGGUGGCGAUUUGGCCCGUGAGAGGGGCUGGCCGAGAUCGCACGGUGGCGAUCUCGACCGGAAGGGAAGCCGAACGAGAUCGCACGGUGGCGAUCUCCAUGAGAAAUGAAAUACUUGCGGCGGAAACCGUAGGAGAGGAGAAGAGUGAGCGGCUUGGCCGCGAACGAGGGAGACACGAGCGGCUUGAGCCGCGACCGAAGAAUGAAGAAGGUGUCGCACGCGCGCUGUCGCCGCAAAACCGGUGGUGUGCGUGCGAAAUCCGAGCGCGGGGUGAUGCUGAACGGCUUCGGCCGUGGAUGCAUGUACGACUUGGGAAGGUUAGGAUGCGGUUCCAACCGCAUUAGCGUGUGGUGGCGAGGCCGAGUGCCUGCGAUGCGCGAUUCGUGCUAGCGCCGCGACGGGUGGGUCAGUGUUGGUCGGGCAAGCGGAGAACCGAACCAGACCGGUGGCGGGGCGGAGUGAACGCCGCUAACCAAGCCUCCUCGCCGCCGCUUGCGGUAACAAUUUUUCUCUCCUGCUUUUCCGCUUGAACCGACCGGUCCUAACCGGUUUUGUUUGUAGUCUUGAACCGAACCGGUUCACCUUCAUACAGCGAAUCAGAUGGGUGUUUCGGGAAACCCAAACCUCCCACCCGCGGUGGGCACAUAAAUUUUUCUCUCUCUCUCUCUUUUGUUCAAUUUUCUGUCCCUUAACAAGAAUUUUUUUUUGGGUUCUUAUCAACAAUUGUUGAAUGGUUGAUUUUGUGCUUAUGGGGAAAACAGAAGGAUUCACCAAAAUAAAAAAUAGGGUGAUGAAUUUUUUGAUGAAAAAGAAAGAAACAGGUAAUCAAGGAAGCAAAGGCAGACCGAGUUGACCUCCUCUGGUGGUUUUUGGAUGGCGUUUGAUGGAUGAUCGUCCAUGAAAACAGAAUGAUUCAAAGAAAUAAAAAAUACGGGGAUGAAUUUUUUGCUGAAAGAAAGGAACAGGUAAUCGAUGAAGCAAAGGCAGACCCCCUCUUGCUUUUGGAUUUUGUCUUCGGUUGAUUUUUUCCUACUGUUUACUUUAACUGGCUGUUUCCAUGGGAUGACAAGACAGAGAAGAACAUAAUCUUUUGACGGUGGCAUAAUAUCUCUCUUUUUGUGCUGAUGAAUUGACCCCCCCCUUUGUUGGUUUUUGGAUGGCGUUUGAUAGAUAAUCAUCCACGGUGGCAUAAUAUCUCUCUUUCUGUGCUGAUGAAUUGACCUCCCCGUUUGUUGGUUUUUGGAUGGUGUUUGAUAGAUAUCCACGGUGGCAGAAUAUCUCUCUUUCAGUGCUGAUGAAUUGACCCCCCUCUGAUGGUUUUUGGAUGGCGUUUGAUAGACGAUCAUCCACGGUGGCAGAAUAUCUCUCUUUCAGUGUUGAUGAAUUAACCCUCCUCUGAUGGUUUUUGGAUGGUGUUUAAUAGAUGAUCAUCCACGUUGAUUGAGCAGACUGGAGUAAUUGAGGGCCCUUGAUUAUUUUACAGAGAUGUCCCUGCUGUUAUUACAACUUCUGUGGUCAAAUGGUGGGGUCAAAAAGACGCAUAUUAGCUUGUCAUAAAAGCGCCUCAGCUCGUUAAAAAGACUUUCAGAAACUUCUACUUCUCUCUAAGUCUCUCCACUUUCGCUUUUUUCGGGAUGUAAGAUUCGGCGAGUUCCCGAUCAUCAUGUUGCUCGUGGAGGUAUUCGCCAACCCUGCACGUGAUGAACGCUUGAUCUUUUGAGCUAUUUAGAUCUCAGGCAUGAUUUUGGGGAUAAUGGAAGUGCCACCUGGUUUCUUCAGGAUCUUGCCACUUAGCAAGGUGCUGAAGGAUGCAGGGUUCUUUCUUCUUCCUGGAAAAAGAUGAGGUUCUUUGGGAAGUAUAUGUUUUCAUUUAGUGAAUGAAAAAUCUUCAGGGCUUUUGUUGGCUGAGAGUUUUCUUGUUAUGGUUUUUUGAGAUGCCUCUUGAUGGUAGUAAAGAUUUUGUUCUUUCUUCUUCCUGGAAAAAGAUGAGGUUCUUUGGGAAGUAUAUGUUUUCAUUUUGUGUCAUUGUUCCUACCGUGUGUAUAUGACCUUUAAGCGACAACUUGAACGGUGGACAACUAGAUUGGGUAAGGGUCUUGAUCACUCGACCUCUUCUGUUUCCCCUGAUCUCACAUGCAUGUUGUUAUAAUGAAAAUGACUUGUCUACUUUUCUACAAUUUGUCUAUUUUGCCCUUGUACAUGAUCUAUUCUGGUAUAAAUUUAAACUCUCCUAUUUUCUGAUUAAGUCUAUAUUUUGUACACAUUUGGAAGAAUAAAAAAAAAACAGACCUAAAUACAUAUGAUUGAUCUAUGAGAGAAUUACUGUAUAUUUUUACUGUGUUUAGAUUAUUCAUUUUUUUCUUUGAAUUUUUAUCUAUUUUGCCCUUGUGCAUGAUCUAUUCUGGUAUAAAUUUAAACUCUCCUAUUUUCUGAUUAA